rnacentral:rRNA from 1 species
UGGGGGAUAUUGCACAAUGGAGGAAACUCUGAUGCAGCAACGCCGCGUGAGGGAAGAAGGUCUUCGGAUUGUAAACCUCAGUAGUCAGGGACGAAAGAAAUGACGGUACCUGAAGAGUAAGCUCCGGCUAACUACGUGCCAGCAGCCGCGGUAAUACGUAGGGAGCGAGCGUUGUCCGGAUUUACUGGGUGUAAAGGGUGCGUAGGCGGGAUAGCAAGUCAGACGUGAAAUACCGAGGCUUAACUUCGGGGCUGCGUUUGAAACUGUUAUUCUUGAGUGAAGUAGAGGCAGGCGGAAUUCCCAGUGUAGCGGUGAAAUGCGUAGAUAUUAGGAGGAACACCUGUGGCGAAGGCGGCCUGCUGGGCUUUAACUGACGCUGAGGCACGAAAGCAUGGGGAGCAAACA